AACCAACAUGCAUGCAGCGGACCACGGCGCACGCUCCGGCGCAGUCUGUUUUGACGAGUCGCGCAUGUUGGGUGGUGGUGUCGUUCGCUGCUGCUGGUUCGGAUGCUGCGUGCCCACUAGCUAGGCAUAGGCUCAUAAGAAAAUUCUUUAGGACGCGAGGGGGGUGUUGAUGGAUUCACCACCCCACGACGACGGCACAUCCCUCUGGUUUUGAGUGGACGGUGGUUGUUGGUUGGCUGUUAGUUAGUGCUGGAGAUUGCGACGAUCGGAAGGCGAGAAAACUGUUUCGUGUGAUGGUGUGUAGCUGCGGCUGCUGGACGUUACAAGUUAAGUGAGUGAAGAAAACGAUAUUUUUUUUUUUCGGGGUGCAAUUCAAUGUUGGAAUGGAGUGUGUCCUUUUCUUAUUAUUUAAAUGAAUAAUUUCGUUUCGCGCGGGUAAUGAUGAUUUUUUAUUCCAGUUGAUUGGGAGCAAGUGCAAGUGGAAGGGAAGAAUGUUUUGAAUGGUGAAAAAUGAGUUCAUAAACCGGUGAAGAAGGCGAAAAGUUGCUUGAAAAAGGGAGAGAUAGAGCGAGGGAAAGGAAGAUCACGCGUUUGCGAGUUUUCGGGUCGAAGAAAUUCUUCAGUGAUGCUUGAUGAUGAUAACGAUAAUGGUGACAAAAGAGAAUAACAAUAAAAUUUAUUUCGCUUGAGAUAAAGCCAAGAAGAAAUACCACGCAAAGGGUUAAACGAGAGAGCGAAAGAUUUUUUUUUUCGAACCACGAAAGUCGUUGGAAUGGAGAAGGAAUUUCGCCGUCCUUAAAAAUGUGUUGCUGCCUUAGCGAGGAAAGAUAAGACGAGUGAAGAAUGAGAGUAAUACGUGGUUGUGAGUUGAUGAAGAACGCUUAUCGCUAACGAAGAGGCAAAACAUAAUCUGCAAACUGCGGAAAAGUAAUGGAACAAGUGAUAAAUGUAUUAAUUGUUUGAAUUAAUCAUUAAUUAAAGAGGCUGGUUUGGUGGGGAAUGAAGUUCAUCGCUUUUUAACAACGUUUCGUGCAAACCAAGUUCAUGUACAGAAGAAGACUGUAAAGUAUAACAGAGGUAAUUGACAGCAAAUAACAAUAGAAGCCAGGAAAGGAAUCGAGUAUCUUUCGUGUGUGGAGUGACUUCAACGGUGAAGAGCAACAGAAGCAGCGAACCCCUUCUGAGAUCUAGACUCAUUGUAACCAAAUCCCGCGCCGUUUCUGAUCCCAUAAUCCCGUAAAGCGCUUACUGAAGAGAUAGUGUAUACAAAACGUGCAGGCAUAUUCCAGUGCAACUUAAAAAGGGCGGUUGUGUGCCAAUUGUGUUUUUUCAUAGAUUGAUACGGUGUUUGUGGUUUCCCACUGGUUGAAACAAGCGAAAACCAUCAACAGACAAAAUCUCCAUUUGAGAUUCUCAGCAAGUGGCCGUAAUUCAGUACGCAGCAGUAUCCCGUGUAGAUGCUGCAGCGUAAACCAGACUUCGUGAAUCGGUGCCGUAUUACAACGGUCCUCGAACGAGACUUUAGACGGUGAAACAACAGGCAAAGCGAUUACGUAAAAUAAAGGCACAAGUUGAUACAGCGAGCGCCGAAGAAGGGAAAAGAUCAAAAACAAUUUACAACCUUACAACCUGAAUAGAAGACAUCCGAACCGUACCACGUACCCUGGAGCUAGAGAAGAACCCAAUCUAUAGAAGAGCAUCAGGUUCCUCCAGUUGAGGCAAGCAUUUCGAUUAUUUUGUGUUGUUUUCUUCGUGUGGUGUUUGUGAACCUCCUUGGCCACCGUCAGUUCCAGUCCCAGUCAAAGAAGAAAUCAGUGCCAGUGUGGUGGUUUGCAUCGGGGUCUCACAUCUGUGAGUGGAGUGCUGUGGCUCUUCAAGCUCCUACCAACUCUCUUCUAAAUAAACCGACGGGAAGGACGACGUGGAAGAAAAUCGACAAAAUAAAAACACUGGAUCUCGCGCGACGCGGACGCUGAACGAAGAACCGACGACACUCUCUUUGAGGCCGUGUGUCGGAGACGAGAAACUCUUGGAGAGGCGCGCAGAGGACGGCCGCGCAGGAAUUCGGUUGUAACGCAGCGGGAAACCUGAUUUUUUGCUUUGCCUUUCGAGCUGGCGAGGAGAGUGUACGCGCGCGAGCUCUACAGCGAGAGAUCGGGCAGCAUAGUCAUCAAGGAUAUUGAUUCGAACGGUGAGUAAGCGAAAUGACGGGGCAAAUUGGGAAUUGUGGUGUGUCUCAGUGGGUUACCCGGUAGGAGUAGACGAGCAAAGUUGCAAAAAUGCAACUUUGGGACAGGUUUUGGGAACUGGUGAGUCAUGUUUUAUAAUUUAGUGAAACUUGUUGCAUGCCUAGGAACGGCAAUCAAGAGUAUACUUCAGAAUUGAGGGCGUGUUUUUAAUGAUUUCCGUUGUCAGCUUUUAUUUCCUCCUUUUUUUAUCUUGUUCGUGUCUGUCACAGCGACUAGUUUUUAGAUCUAUUACACAAGUUUACAAAAUAAAACGAAACUCGUGAACUUCUGUCAACGACUGAAAUUUUUGAAGCAUAUAUUAGCGCUGAUUUCGAAACUGUGCUUUAAAAAAUUUAAAGUAGAACAGUUUUUGAGUUUUAGCUCAAUAUCGAGUUUUACAACUUUUUAAAAUAUAGAAUUUAAUAAAAUGCAAAUAUCUUGCGUUUUGUUCAACCAACUUUUAAUCUUUUUCCAUAAGUUAAAAGCUGAAUAUAAUACCAUUUGAUCAUCUGAAUGCAGGUUUUGCGUCAGAUUGAUAAAAUUCACGAUAUUGGCGAGAUUUGGGAACGAUCUCCUUAAAUUUUAGCAAAAUUUCCUAAAAUAUAUGAAGAAAUGUAUUUUUUUUUCAAUAAGAAAAAAGCAAUUUAAAAAUUCUUUCAUAACGUUUUUUUUUUUGACAUAUCAUAUGUGGGCGAGAAACAGUAAAAAAUUCAGCUCAAUCGGAGCAUUGAUUACGGAGAAUGAGGUGUGUGAAGUGAGCGACUUUGCUUAAAAAUAGAACAAAAAUCGAUUUCAAAUCAUCAACCUUGUAUGGAAAGUCGAAAAAAAUUCCGCUCUACUGUAAUUUUUUUCCUUCGCGUUUUCGAAAUCAGGGCAUGAUUCUACACCAAAAACGAUCAUCAGCAUACCGAGUUCAAAAAUGCUGUAAACUAGUGUUAUUAAAUUAACCGUAUCCUCAAGGUAGUGCAUGUCGCAUUACUCAAUUGCCAUUGAAGCGUAAUAAAGUAUCGAUUUUUAUACAGUUUUUGUUUUGUUGUCUUAGAAAUGUGAUCCUUUCUUAUAGAAAACGGAACAAGAGCACUAGCACUGACAUUGGAAACCUAGUAUCACUCUUGUUUACUGCUAAAUUCUCCCCAGUAAGAAGCUUAGAAUCCGGGUUUUAACAUUAGCAGCAAUGCCAUUUCAAUAAUGGAACAGGUGUUCAGUAAUAAAGAUUCCAGUCUGUUCCUUGCAUACUAGCACUUACCAGUCUUCGAAGAGUUAUUACAUACAUGGAUUCCUAACCCAAUUUGAUUUCCUUUGCAAUGAGUUUAGCCUCGGAUGGCGAGGUUUUUAACUAUAUGCAAAGUAAAUUUGAUUAACUUAGUUUUGUUCAAGAAACUGGAAGUCACACCAGUAUCAAUUUUUGUGAGGUUUUAGUCACCAGUAGCGAAGACUAAAUACAAUGAUUCCUUGAAUUACCAGAACAUAUUUUCUAAAAAUGAAAAAUAGGAUGACAUUAGAUUUCGGUUUGGUAGAUCUUACACUGUAACGCAACACGAAAAGAUGAUCUACCUACGGUACGGGCUCCUUUAAAGAUCGAGCAUCUUUUAAACCCACCUCAACCAUUCAUCCAACAGCACGGGUCGCCUGAUACCUUGGAUUGGGGUUCCCUGUUUGGUGGUCUUUUAUCCCCGGAAAAGGUGGUCCGUAGUGUUAUUCUUAGACAAUUCAGACAACCGCUACCAAUACUACACAGCUUUCUAGGAUAAUCGGGAAAAGCAGUUAAUAUUGAUGGUUAACUUCAAACGAGCCCGAACAGCCCUCCUGUUGAACGAUAAUCGUUAAAGUAUAAACGAUAAAGUACACACUAAGAAAAUCUUAAAUUUACCAUGAACGUAAUCGAACAAACUGACGCAAUUAAGCAAGACACAAACGUAAAACGAACUCAUUUUUGUGACUUAGAUGAUGUAAUCAUAUAAACGAAAGGUUUCAAACUAAUAUUACGUCAUACUGGACUUAUUUGGUAAACUUCAUAGCAAACGCCCACGAUAUUGAACCACAUGGCUUAUAAUUUAGUUCAUCGCGUUGUAAAUUUACACGAUCGAUGACACAAUCACUCUUUGUUUACUAACGGCUCAGUUUGAAACGUCAACUUUCAGAUCCAGUCGUGUACGCGAAAUAAAUCAACUUUUUUGAAAAUAUUAAACAAAUUUGAUCUAUUAUCAGUGUUAAUGUAGUUUAUUUUGUGUGAAAAACCAAUGGCAGCGUUUGUUGGACCCGGCGGAGCAAGCGUCAGCAGCAGAAAACUGUUUCACGAUUCAACGAACCGGUGCCGAAAAGAAGAACUUCUCGAUGGAUGGUAUUUGUUUGAAUGUUGAAAACUUAAUGUUAGUGUGAUCUGGAAGCGUUCUGAUAA